UGGUUGAUCCUGGCGGAGGUCACUGCUAUCGGGGUUCGAUUAAGCCAUGCGAGUCGAGAGGGUUCAGACCCUCGGCGGACUGCUCAGUAACACGUGGAUAAUCUGCCCUAUGGUGGAGGAUAACCCCGGGAAACUGGGGAUAAUACUCCAUAAGUCAGGAGUACUGGAAUGUCUCCUAACUGAAAGUUGCGGCGCCAUAGGAUGAAUCUGCGGCCGAUUAGGUAGUUGUUGGGGUAACGGCCCAACAAGCCCGUAAUCGGUACGGGUUGUGGGAGCAAGAGCCCGGAGAUGGAAUCUGAGACACGAUUCCAGGCCCUACGGGGCGCAGCAGGCGCGAAAACUUUACAAUGCAGGAAACUGUGAUAAGGGAACCCCGAGUGCCCGUAAACGCGGGCUGUCCCGGUGUUUAAAACACAUCGGAAGAAAGGGCCGGGCAAGACCGGUGCCAGCCGCCGCGGUAAUACCGGCGGCUCGAGUGGUGACCACUUUUAUUGGGCUUAAAGCGUUCGUAGCUUGAUUUUUAAGUCUCUUGGGAAAUCUCACGGCUUAACUGUGAGGCGUCUAAGAGAUACUGGGAAUCUAGGGACCGGGAGAGGUAAGAGGUACUUCAGGGGUAGAAGUGAAAUUCUGUAAUCCUUGAGGGACCACCGAUGGCGAAGGCAUCUUACCAGAACGGCUUCGACAGUGAGGAACGAAAGCUGGGGGAGCGAACGGGAUUAGAUACCCCGGUAGUCCCAGCCGUAAACUAUGCGCGUUAGGUGUGCCUGUAACUACGAGUUACCGGGGUGCCGAAGUGAAAACGUGAAACGUGCCGCCUGGGAAGUACGGUCGCAAGGCUGAAACUUAAAGGAAUUGGCGGGGGAGCACCACAACGGGUGGAGCCUGCGGUUUAAUUGGACUCAACGCCGGGCAGCUCACCGGAUAGGACAGCGGAAUGAUAGCCGGGCUGAAGACCUUGCUUGACCAGCUGAGAGGAGGUGCAUGGCCGUCGUCAGUUCGUACUGUGAAGCAUCCUGUUUAGUCAGGCAACGAGCGAGACCCA
rnacentral:rRNA from 1 species